rnacentral:sRNA from 1 species
ACACGUGAAAGGAGGUGGUCCGAAGAAUGAAUUCUUUUGGGACUCGUGAGGUGGCGGCCAGCUAGUCGCUGACCCGGUCCUUCUGGACUGUCGGUCGACGACCGGCUAAUCCAAAGGCCGACACCCGGACCCGCGAGCGCCAGGGCUUGUCCUCCUGGCCGUCGAUCAGCCGACGCACUGAGAUCGGUCGACGACGCCCGCUCGCGGGUUCGCCCUUU